rnacentral:tRNA from 1 species
GGUAAGGUGACUGAAACUUAGGUGAUAAAUUGUAAAUUUAUUUAUGAAUAAAUUCUCUUACUA